GAUCAUUACUGAUUUGCUUAAUUGCACCACAUGUGUUUUUCUUUGAAACAAACUUGCUUUGGCGGUGGGCCCAGCCUGCCGCCAGAGGUCUAAACUUACAACCAAUUUUUUAUCAACUUGUCACACCAGAUUAUUACUAAUAGUCAAAACUUUCAACAACGGAUCUCUUGGUUCUCGCAUCGAUGAAGAACGCAGCGAAAUGCGAUACGUAAUAUGAAUUGCAGAUAUUCGUGAAUCAUCGAAUCUUUGAACGCACAUUGCGCCCUCUGGUAUUCCGGAGGGCAUGCCUGUUUGAGCGUCGUUUCUCCCUCAAACCGCUGGGUUUGGUGUUGAGCAAUACGACUUGGGUUUGCUUGAAAGACGGUAGUGGUAAGGCGGGAUCGCUUUGACAAUGGCUUAGGUCUAACCAAAAACAUUGCUUGCGGCGGU
rnacentral:misc_RNA from 1 species